rnacentral:lncRNA from 1 species
UGGGUAAUCCAAGCCUCGGCAGGUACAGUUCCUCCCUCAGUGGCACCCGAGCUCUGUGAGGGCAAGACUUUGUUUGGUUGUGGGCUAUGCCCCCAACCCCUCGGACAGUGCCUGCACAGGUGGACAUUUUUGUUGGAUGAAGGAUUUUCUGUUAAAUGUGUCUGGCACACACAGAAAAACAAAGCCCAGCAGAUGCCGUUCCAUUGUUUGCUGACUUGCAUUGAUUCUAUGAGAAGUCUGCAGUCUUUUGCAGCAUUGUUUUCCUAUGUAUAAUUGUCUCCUCCCACCCCACUCACCCCAGCUGCUUUCCACAUUCUCUCUCUUUGAUUUUCAGCAGUCUGCCCAUGAUGUGCCUAAAUAGGACUUUCUUUGCAUUCAUCUUGGCUGGGGCUCACUGAACUUUCUGAAUCUGUAGAUUAAUUUUCUUUUUUCAAUAAACCUUGG